rnacentral:lncRNA from 1 species
GUUAAACGACGACUAUUAACUUACGAUAGUUAGUAGAUAAUUGUGGAACAGUACCGAAUAGCUUUUUGAUCAUGAUUGAAGUUUCAAACAAAUUAAAAGUUUUUUUAAUUAAGUGCGGCGACGCUGGAUUAAGUGACCUACAUCUUAUGAGGAAAAAGUUCGAAGUUGACUUUCUACGCAUGCGCGGGUUUGACUACGCGACAGGAUGCGAAGGCCUUUGCGACCAGACGCGUAUGGAAAAACAGCCGCCAUCGCUGAAAGUGACGUCACAAAAGAUAAACUUUUAACCACUAUAACUACGUAACUAUUACUGGUAGAGGUACGGUUCUUUGGUAAACUUUUCUACGCUAAUUGCGAACUUUCGAUCGGUACUAUUUUUAUUUGGAUGGCGGAAAUGUAAAAUUCUACCAUAA